UAAAUUAAAAAAAAAUCAAGUGCUGUAGAUGGACAUGGAUGGUGAUUCUGGUGAAUGAAAUAUUGAAGUGAAUAGUGAAAAGUGAGAAGAAAGACUGAAUAAUUGUACUUCAUAAUAAAACAAAAGACAAGGGAAUAUAUUCCCUCCCAACCUGCAAUCAAAACAAAGUAAAGUAAAAGACUGAAAGUCGAUUAAAAAAAUCAAAACUCACUCACACAACACAAUACAAGGCAGUACUCAGUAAGUCAGACUCACAAACUCACAUUUCACAGAAUCACAAGCAAACGAAAAGGCAAAAUAUAUUUCUUCAUUCUCCAUAUUUCGGCAAGGCAAAAAACACAGCCACAGGGCACAGGCAGCAAGCAAAGCAAUAGAUCAAGUAAGUAGAGAAAACUAACCCAGCAAAGUACUUGCAUGUCUUGAAUCUGCAACAUAGAGUGAUUUUUUGAUAUUUUUAUCCCUAGAUCUAUAUUCUACACAAAAAAAGGGGGGUUAAAAUGUUUUCAGCGAUUUCUGACCACCGUGCACGGCGGCGCCGUCGCCGGUGAUCGGCGGCUGCCACGGUGGCCGAUGGCCGGAUUCUGGGCAACGGCAGAGAAGAAAGAUAAUUGAGAGAAAAAGGCAAAAAAAUUAUUUGAAGAAUGGCUGAAAUGAAGAUUCUGAAAAUUUUUUCAUUUAAAUAGGCCUUCAAAACAACGCCGUUUUGGGCAGGCCACUCUGGCACCAAAACGACGCCGUUUCGGCCUAACCCGCGCACUUACCCGACCCGUUUCCUAGGAUCCGCGUGUUUUUAAUAGAAGGGUUAAUUGCGCUUUUAGCCCUUCCUAUUUUUUAUUAUUUAC
rnacentral:lncRNA from 1 species